UUCUGCAUUUGAACACACAUACAUCCUCCCAAGAUUAAAAACAUCCAAUGAAAAGGGAGAUUUUUGGAAAGAUUAUCAAGAUUGCCUUGACCUAUGGGCCACCUUCACAGAAUUUUUAUGUCCAGGCUUCCUGUGAUUUAAGAUACCUUUCACAGGAAGUACCUCCAUUUAUAAAAAUAAUGGCUUUCUCUGCAAUAUUCUAUCACAACCCAAUAUGAAGUGAUACAGUUUUCACAGCAAGAUCAGACGUGGUUUUAAUCUCAAAAGAUCUAAGGCGAAGAAUCAAGAGCUGACUGGCCUUUGACCUGAGGAACUGGAGGCGUUUACAACUUCAGUGUGCAAGAUUCAUUCUUCCUCUCGUCAGCCUAAGAAGGAGUUCCUGAAACACUGAGUAGGAGAUCCACCGAUCAGACAGAGGGAUUUAUGUUGAUCAUUGUUAUAUUCAGAGUCUAUAUCCAACUGCCGCUUGUAAUCUU